CAACAGUUAACUCCUUCGAAGAUAUGGAACUCUGAACUCAAAUUUUUUUAAUUCCUAAAAAUGGCGGCAGUAACUUCUCUUUCUUUCAGUUCGAUAAGUCAGUCCAAGUUUUCAAUUCCUUUACCGCGUAAUUUGGCUUUCAAUUUCGAUGCUUUUAAGUUUCGAAGCACGAUUUCAUCUCUCGAUUCGUUUAAUCUCCGAGUUUCGACGAGUUCUCGUGUUGUAAUUCAUUGCAUCUCAACUUCCACAGGCAAGUUUUAGGUCAUUGCGGAAUUAUCGUAGAUUUUGUGGGGGAAAAAAUGUGAUCUUUUCGAUUUAAGUACGGCUUUAAUUUUUGGAGGAAGGUAGAAAUUCUAGUGAUCUCAAUACAAUAUUAACCUUAUUAUUUGCUUAAUUCUAUUGUUAAUUGAACUGUUUUCUUCUUUGAAUUUUCACUUAUUGAAUCGAUACUGGUUAGUAGUCUUUUAAGCCUAAAUUUUUGUGCCUUUGCAUUAUCAAUUUAGUGGUUCAAUUUAGUAGUUUCUGUUAGUGAAAUGACAAUUUCAGAUUGCGGCAAUUGAAACCAAUCUUUUGAUUGGCUACAACAAUUAGGUGUAAUUUAUGCUCGUCUACUCAUUCCCUGCACUAAUAAGAUAGAUACGGUGCAAUGGGAUUGUUUAUUGAAGGAUGACAUUUCUAGAUUUUUAUAAUUAAACUGAUUUGAUCCAGACCCCAUAAUUCAGUUUUCCCCUUGAAAAUAUGUGUUUUUACUUCAUUUACUGAUUCUAUUCUGGAUAAUAAACUCCCGUUAUUUCCUUCGGAUGCUCAUUGGUUUCAGAUGUACCUACUGUGUGUGAGACGAAGCUAAAUUUCCUGAAGGCAUAUAAGAAGCCGGUUCCAAGUAUAUACAACACUGUAUUGCAAGAGCUGAUAGUACAACAACAUUUGAUGCACGAAAGUUAGAAAAAUGGGCCCGUUCUCAGAGUGCUAGUACUUUAGUCGAUUUUGCAUCAAGGGAAGGAGAAGUUGCAGCUGCCUAAAAGGACAUCGCAGAAAGAGCAGGGAACAAAGGAAGUUUCAGCUACAGUCGAUUCUUUACUGUUGGUCUCUUCCGGCUGCUAGAGUUAGCAAAUGCAACAGAACCCAGUAUCUUAUAAAAGGUAAAAAAAUAAAAAAUAAAAAAAUAAAUAAAAAUUCUCCUUUCAUGUUACGAGACUUUCCUUAUUCUGAAGCCUCGUGUAAGAGUGCAAAUUUUGCUAUUUUAGUUUAUAUACUCCAUUGUGAGCAUCUGUACAAGGGAUAUUAUAACUUACAUCAGUAUGGAUACAAUGUCGAUAGAAUGGCUAGGCAGUUUUAGUCUCUUUUGAGGCCUGGAGUGCAGGUUUAUUUGUCCAUGCUGCAGCUUGUAG
rnacentral:lncRNA from 1 species